rnacentral:rRNA from 2 species
GGGUGCGAUCAUACCAGCACUAAUGCGUCGGAUCCCAUCAGAACUCCGCAGUUAAGCGUGCUUCGGCGAGAGUAGUACUACGAUCGGUGACCUCCUAGGAAGUCCUCGUGUUCCACCCC